AGGUGCGACCAUACCAGCACUAAUGCACCGGAUCCCAUCAGAACUCCGCAGUCAAGCGUGUUUGGGCGAGAGUAGUACUAGGCAGUGAAGCGUGCUUGGGCGAGAGUAGUACUAGGACGGGUGACCUCCAUGGAAGUCCUCGUGUUGCACUUC
rnacentral:rRNA from 1 species